AAAUAAAAAGCGAAGACGCAAUCAGUUUCGACCUGAUCUUUGGUAUACAAUACCUUUAUUUA
rnacentral:tRNA from 1 species